rnacentral:rRNA from 1 species
AUUGAACGCUGGCGGCAGGCCUAACACAUGCAAGUCGAACGAGUGGCGGACGGGUGAGUAAUGUCUGGGAAACUGCCUGAUGGAGGGGGAUAACUACUGGAAACGGUAGCUAAUACCGCAUACCAUCGGAUGUGCCCAGAUGGGAUUAGCUAGUAGGUGGGGUAAAGGCUCACCUAGGCGACGAUCCCUAGCUGGUCUGAGAGGAUGACCAGCCACACUGGAACUGAGACACGGUCCAGACUCCUACGGGAGGCAGCAGUGGGGAAUGUUGCACAAGGGGCGCAAGCCUGAUGUAGACAUGCCGCGUGUGUGAAGAAGGCCAUCGGGUUGUAAAGCACUUUCAGCGGGGAGGCGGUACCCGCAGAAUAAGCACCGGCUAACUCCGUGCCAGCAGCCGCGGUAAUUC